CUUUGUUUGUUUGUGUUUUUCAACAUAAAAAUCCAUUCACCGGCGUGAAUUCACCCUCAAAGCCGAGCUUGACAACAAAGUCGGGGGGAGCGCGUCGCCGCUUUAUUACGUCAGCGUCGCCAUUUUCUGACGACUACCGUAACUUGCGGGCGGCGAUCAUGAUGGAGCAGAGUGAGGAGAGAGGGGGAGAGAUGUGGCGCUUUAACACAGGUCAGGUCAACCUACGCUUGCUUCUGCUGCUCGCGGCUGAAACCCUCACCCUGUCACCGAGAGAGAGCGAGAGAGCUCACUAUUGUAACAUCAACUCUCCAGAAGAUUCUCAGCCCUUCUGGUCGCGUUGGGGUGAGGAGAGGGAGGAGGAGGAGGGGGAGGGCAUUUCCACUCCCCCCCCCCAGUUCUGAAGUGGAGCUUCACGUCGCUCUGUGGAGAAGGGACCUCGGUGAAUGGACCCCACUCGAGACGAACAAAGGAGGCCCUCCACCGGUUUGUUUUGGAAGCUGUUUUAUUGAUCUGUCUACCUAUGAAUGAAUGCGCUGGCCCAGUUUUCCAGCUCAUGAGGACAAUGUCACUCAAGGCCUGCAUUAACUGGCCCCGAUGUUAUUCUCAUAGAACGGUGCGCGUUGAGAGGAGCUUGGGACCAUUUGUAAUUUCAUCCCCCAAUCUUACGCCGCUAACCUUUCCCACAAUAAUAGAGGUGCCAAACUAAGAAAAGCAAAUCGAUGGCCAUUGAGCGCCCUAAAUCAAUCCCAGUUUGCUGCGAGGACACGUUCCAAGUAGGCUGACGCCGCGCAAACACGGAAUUACAGAAUUAUUUAUCGCCGCCGCACAAAGAACGAUGCUACAGUCAAUUUGAUAAAAUCCUGUCCGAGACCUUGAAGAGCCACAAAGGAGCGACUGUAAAUGCAGAGAAAAGGUUAGAAGAAAGCGGACCUUUUGUGCUCAUCAUCUCCAUGAACAGAAUAAAGCAGUGAGGCCUUAAGAGAGCCACAUCUGCACUGAAAUAUUUUCAACUCAGGGGUCCGCCGUGUGUAUUUACAAGGGCAUGUGGUCGGUCUCCUCAUCGGGGCAUGAAUCCCGGGGCAAGGCCGUACCGUUAAAAAGCAGCUCUGCCCUCAAAAGGAUCUUUAAGAACGCGACACUUUCUUCCAGUUUCACUCACACACCCGACUUCUUGUCAUGUGCUUGGUUAAAGUUAAGCGGUUAGUUUGCUUUGAAACAAACUAACAUCACUAAGCUACAACAAGUGGCAGGCACUUUUGAUUUGGAGGAAACGAUGCAGAUGCAACGAGGAGCGACAGCCGGGAGUGAUUUACUCAAAACCCCAUUUCCAGAAAAACCUGGGACACUUGGCAAUAAAACUAAAGUCUGUAAUUUGAACCUUUUUUAUUUAACGGAGAAAAAAGGACAAAGGAAAGAUUUUCACUGCUGAUAAACACAAUUCUAUGUGUUUAACAAACACAUUUGAUGCCCGCAGCGCACUAAAGAAGUUGGUCACAUCACCUUUACGUUUAAAUAAACUUUUCCCUCAGUCCAUGUGGUGAUGUCGAUCACAUUAACACGACUGUUUCUCCUAUAAAAACCACCCGAGGGCCUCGAUGUGACUUCACACACCGAGACUCCUCUCGAUUCUCUUCAUGUUUUUUGCAACAUUAUGUAUUAAACAUGGUAACAAAAUCAAA